AUUGAACGCUGGCGGCAGGCCUAACACAUGCAAGUCGAGCGGAUGAAGGGAGCUUGCUCCUGGAUUCAGCGGCGGACGGGUGAGUAAUGCCUAGGAAUCUGCCUGGUAGUGGGGGAUAACGUCCGGAAACGGGCGCUAAUACCGCAUACGUCCUGAGGGAGAAAGUGGGGGAUCUUCGGACCUCACGCUAUCAGAUGAGCCUAGGUCGGAUUAGCUAGUUGGUGGGGUAAGGGCCUACCAAGGCGACGAUCCGUAACUGGUCUGAGAGGAUGAUCAGUCACACUGGAACUGAGACACGGUCCAGACUCCUACGGGAGGCAGCAGUGGGGAAUAUUGGACAAUGGGCGAAAGCCUGAUGCAGCCAUGCCGCGUGUGUGAAGAAGGUCUUCGGAUUGUAAAGCACUUUAAGUUGGGAGGAAGGGCAGUAAGUUAAUAUCUUGCUGUUUUGACGGUACCAACAGAAUAAGCACCGGCUAACUUCGUG
rnacentral:rRNA from 1 species